rnacentral:rRNA from 1 species
UCUCCCUGGGAAACGGGUGGUAAUGCCGGAUGCUCCAGUUGGAUGCAUGUCCUUCUGGGAAAGAUUCAUCGGUAUGGGAUGGGGUCGCGUCCUAUCAGCUUGAUGGCGGGGUAACGGCCCACCAUGGCUUCGACGGGUAGCCGGCCUGAGAGGGCGACCGGCCACAUUGGGACUGAGAUACGGCCCAGACUCCUACGGGAGGCAGCAGUGGGGAAUAUUGCACAAUGGGCGCAAGCCUGAUGCAGCGACGCCGCGUGCGGGAUGACGGCCUUCGGGUUGUAAACCGCUUUUGACUGGGAGCAAGCCCUUCGGGGUGAGUGUACCUUUCGAAUAAGCACCGGCUAACUACGUGCCAGCAGCCGCGGUAAUACGUAGGGUGCAAGCGUUAUCCGGAAUUAUUGGGCGUAAAGGGCUCGUAGGCGGUUCGUCGCGUCCGGUGUGAAAGUCCAUCGCUUAACGGUGGAUCCGCGCCGGGUACGGGCGGGCUUGAGUGCGGUAGGGGAGACUGGAAUUCCCGGUGUAACGGUGGAAUGUGUAGAUAUCGGAAAGAACACCA